rnacentral:rRNA from 1 species
UACAGAGGGUGCGAGCGUUAAUCGGAAUUACUGGGCGUAAAGCGUGCGUAGACGGUAGCGUAAGUCAGAUGUGAAAGCCCCGGGCUCAACCUGGGAACUGCAUUUGAGACUGCUCUGCUCGGGUGCGGAAGAGGGAAGCGGAAUUUCCGGUGUAGCGGUGAAAUGCGUAGAUAUCGGAGGGAACACCAGUGGCGAAAGCGGCUUCCUGGUCCGACACCGACGUUCAGGCACGAAAGCGUGGGGAGCAAACAGG